ensembl:rRNA 5S_rRNA 5S ribosomal RNA
GACUAUGGCCAUAGCUCCCUGAACACUCCCGAUUUCAUCUGAUCUUGGAAGCUCAGCAGGGUCUGGCCUGGUUAGUACUUGCACGGGAGAAGCAUUUUUGUAACAACAGCUU